rnacentral:lncRNA from 1 species
AAGCAUGCAUAGGAGUUUCACAUGGCUAGAUGCAAUGAACCUGGAGAUUUUCCCAAGAAUGAGCCUUUCAAUCAUAGAGAGACUGAAAGACUGAGACUGCAUUUAUUUCAGAAAGUGAUUGGUGCAGAGGUAUGAUGACAUAUUUUCAGUGUGUCUAUCAAGAAGGUGGUGUUGAAAUAUCUGUGGCAAUAUUGGCAAGGAGUCAGUCUCUUGCUAUUUCACAAUGGCCUUAAUCCUAGUGAUGGCAAUUUCUUCUUGCAACAAAGAAAGACAGUGACACCAAAGGAGAAAUAUUCAAAGUGGGAUGAAAGGGGUUGACAUUAGAAAAGACUUCAUGGUGAUUGGGAAAAAAUGGAAAAAGAUUUUGAAAGCACUCCAUCACAGGGCACACUACAAUCACAAACUUCAUGCCUUACACAGUUUCCUUUCCUGUCAUACUAACUGUGCUUCUUCAACAUCUCCUGGGAACCA